UUGACGAAAAAAUGGAUUACAUUUAGUGGCUAUCGAUGUCCUAGCCAAGCGCUCCCACCCAUCCAUGGAUGCCCUCAAGAUGCUGCAGGGCACCACCCAUUCGCAGUCGGCAGGAGCCCCCUCCUCGCGACUACGGCUACUGUUCCAUCUCCCUCAUUGGGAAAACUUACUCACACAUAGUGGGUAUUACAAAGGUUUAAUAAAUAUCCCUUUAAGACAGAAACCUGGCCGCCGUCUCAAAUAUUUACGCGGUCAAAGCAGAGGAUUCGUUUUGUAGGAAAAGGGUACAGGCGCCGCGGAAAUUAUGCUCUACCAGCCAUGUAUUGGUAGAGCUCGCAUGGAAACGCGGCCCUCAAAGGGUCACCUAAUCCUGAGGAGCUCCAGGGGAAAAGAAGGGACAGGCCAAAAAGGCAAACAACGAGGACAAAUAAGGCUCUCGGGUCUAACUCCGGAUAAACUCACAAACAGGUAAGUAGAUAUCAAUAUAUAUGAUCGAGGUACACGUGUAUUUAAUUUCUCGUAAAUUUCAG